rnacentral:lncRNA from 1 species
AUUUGGUUUUCUUUAACUUGGAUGUGACGGGAGUCAUCGGCUUUCUCCGCUUCUUACGCUCCCUUGACGAAACGUGCCGCACUUGAACCAUCUUAACAUACACAAACACCACACCACUUCUCUUCAAAACAAUGGUAUAUAAUUGCACAUCAAUGCACAUAACAAUACCAUAUCUAAACCCCCAAUUCACAUUGCCCUUUGAUCGAUUACAAAACAGACCAAAAUCAAAUAAAACCCCCAACUAAGUCCGGUAUUUGCUGCAAAAUUUUCUUCAUUUCCUAAUGAUUCAAGAACACGAAUAUAUCUUUCUCAGGCAUUUUCUCAGUAACCAAACAGGCAAGACCACCCACUGAAAAAACCCAACUUACCGAGAAAGGGAAUGGCGAGGAGCGAAGAGCAGUGACAGCCAGUGAAGGUUGGGUCGGUGAAUGGGCACUGAAAAGGGACCUGACGAUCCAUCUGUUAUCAAUUGAUGCGAAAGGGAGAGGCUGG